rnacentral:lncRNA from 1 species
UGCAGAGGCGUGGGGUCCGACAGGUGGGCACCUUCAGUGCUUGGCGCGGCUUCGGCGGGGUGGGCCAGGCGGCGGUCUUAAGGCCUGUGGCGCCUGCGGGGUCAGCGGGCGGUGGCGCGGUUCGGAUCCGCUUCCGAGCAUCUCCGCGGUCUCCGAGCGAGGGCUGGUCCGUGCCAGACCCGGAGGCCGGGCGGGCGGGACACAACCCCGUCGACGGUAGCGCGGUUUUGGCCGCCUGUCGAAGUGGCGUUUUCCUCUUUCCGUGGCUCCUAGGAACUUAAGUCGCACACGAGGCCCACGCCCGGUGUCUGUGGGGCUGCCCGCGUGGCCUCGGCCGCCGCCCCUUUGGUGCGCUCAGCAGCAGCAAGGGGCAGCUCCCCGCGGAGAUGCGCCCGGCCGAGCCCCGUCCCGAUGGUCGGGAGGGUGAAGUACAGGAGGGUGUUCUUGUACUUCUGAGGCUUGGUGCGUGUGGGGACGUUUGUUGGAGGAACUGGGAAUGGAACCCGGGGCCUCGCGCAUGCCAGGCAAAUGCUCUACCACUGAGCUACGCCCGCAGCCUUUUUGAGACGGGAUCUGGCUAAAUUGUCCAGGUUGAACUCGAACUUGUGGUCCUCCUGCCUCGGCCCUCCACUUAGCUGGAAGUACAGGCGUGGGCACCUUGCCCAGAGACUUGUUCUUUUUUGUUUGUUUGUUUGUUUGUUUUAAUAUUUUUUAGUUUUUGGCGGACACAACAUCUUUGUAUGUGGCGCUGAGGAUCGAACACGGGCCGCACGCAUGCCAGGAGAGUGCGCUACCGCUUGAGCCACAUCCCCAGCCCCCAGAGACUUGUUCUUGAGAGUGUGCAUCUCACCUUUCCUGCGUGGCACUCCACUUGGAGUGUGAGUUCCUUGCCUUCAAGACCCAGUGCUACCUUCAUGUAGCUCAUACCUGAAACUGCUGCAACUCUGGAAGCCGAAACCCAUAUUGCAAGAUGGAGACCAGCAUGGGUCUUUCCCAGGUUCCCAGGUGUGACAUUUCAGGCCUGGCGGACUAUGAACCAGUGUCGCGCCCCAGUUCAAUAGGAUUGACCAGGUGCUUUUCCACUGAAUUGCAGCUCUUCAUAAUGCCACUGUGGGGUGAUGACUGCUUCAGAUCCGAUGAACUGGUCUAUUUUUGUGCUUGCCUUGACUUGUUUUACAAACCAAGAUUUGGGGCCCAAGACAAAAGACUUGAGUUUAGAUUUUCUAACUGUGGAGGUUAGUAUUUUGUCCAUUGAUGGGAAGUGAAGGGAUUUAGGGUACUGUUGUGGAUUAGCUCGUGAUGGUUUGAAGGCAUCUUAGUUCCAGAACAUAAACUAUGAAGAAGAAAUGUGCACAUCUACAUCACCAGAAACAAGCAGAGGCCACUGCAGGUGCACAGAUCAGACAAGGAUCAAAGUAGCUUAGACUCUACCGUCUAAGGUGGGCUCUGGGCCUACAGUGGCUCGUGCCAAGGGCAGUUGAACACGCUUCAGUUUGGGGAACUGCCCAGCCAGAGUAGCAGAGAGCAGGGCUGCUGUUCUGUGGCCUAGGUGGCUGUGGCUAAGUUGAUGUUCUAUGAAAGUCAGGGCAUCCAGCAGCACUCCCCCCCAGGUGAUCAUGCUGCCAUGGCUACCCUGGCAGCUAGCUCUUGCUGGUACCUUGUCCUUCCUGAAUCAGCC